rnacentral:lncRNA from 1 species
GUGUCGUGUUGGUUCUAAAAUCAUUUUACGGGUUUAAUUAACCUAUUUAAAUAUUUUAUGAUUAUUAGAAAAUGGUGAUGGAAGACUAUCAGGAGUUUUGCAGGAGGUGUUUGUACAAAGUGAACGAGGAGAGUUCGUGCAGUGCAGAGUCCAGCCACAGGGGGGCGCCAUCUGCCAUUCAUUUCCAUGGCAGACCUGUACUACAGCCAAUGCUAAGCGAAGAGCAGCGUGUAGAAAUGGCUAAACAAAGGCAGAAAGCGAUGGAGAGAGAGAGCGAGAGACAUACACUGAGAACCAGCUCUCUGCUGGAACGAGCCCAGGACGUCCUCAACCACUUACAGGUGCAAAAUACGUCUCACUGUGAAGCAGAGCAGGGUGCUAUCGGCUCUCCUCCAGACCCUCAGGAUCUAAACCUCAGGAAAACAGUCGCUGAAGACCUGGCGCCCUGCAGGGUCUCCAGCGCUUGGCGAAGAGAGACCCUCAGACUUCUAAACAGUCGGAUGGAGAGAGUGGAGAAGAGUGGAGAAAAGACGAGUGAAACAAGAACACAGCCGAGCUAUUCUGGAGAUGCUUAUAAAGAUGGUGAGAAUAAAGCUGGAGAAGAUACCCUGUCUGAUAAGGAGAACGAGAGCCUCACACCAGAGCGCCCUCUUGUGGUGAAGUCUAGGAAUACCUCUAUUCGAUGUUCUGUUGAGUCAUGUGACUCUCCAUUGGGUAGUCUUUCGCUGUGUGCCAGUCUUACGGGUUCCUACGCCCAGUUGCCGAGCCCCCUGCCCAGCUGCAACCCCAUCACCCACCGCUUACGAAAACCAGCUCUGGCAUCUUCAAGCAACAUCCUCAUCUCAGUCCCUGUCACUGAACUGGAGCUCAACAAGACAAUGCCAGUCCAGUCUGAAUCCCAUGCUCCUGAUUAUCCUCCCCCUACUGGAGGAGACUGGAACUGCAGUUGCCCUGAGUUAGGCAGUCAAACGCCGCCUAUGGCUAAGACCUCCACCCCCACUGACCAUCAUAUCACCACAAGACCCACCACACCCAUAGAGACCAGCACACUGAACCACAGUUCCCCGUUCCAGCGUUCCCCACCAGCUCCACUCAACCAGUCCUACGAUGUGGAGAGUCCAGCUCCCAACAUCCUCAGGCCCCACGUCGGAUCAGGUUCCAGACCCUUUACUGCACCCCUCCAACGCAGACUGGAGUUCACAGGGAGACCACAGCUCUCCCCAGAGGACCAGAAGACCCAGGGGCAUAAAACCAGUAAUACACUUCAGGAUAGAGGUCAGUACCAAUCCCAUGCAUUUUAUCUCCCCUGCAGUCCUAUCAGAAUCUCUCAGAAGCUUCAUGAUAGCUUU